rnacentral:lncRNA from 1 species
AAACACGCAGCGCAUCAGUGGAUGGAUGGAUAUAUAUCAAGCAUUAGCAGAGCCAUCGGGGCUCUUAUUUGAAGGAAAGAACAGACAAACACCCUUUACAAUACAACCAUAAUUCCACCAUACACACUAAAUCACACACACUGACACACGUGCGCGGUGUCAUUUGUAGCUACGUAUACGUACGUACUACAAAUUAUUUAUACACAGAAAUAUAUAUAUAUAUAUAUAUAUCAAGCUUCCACCAGUGGAGGUAUAUAUGAUCAUUCAUAUCGAAAUGAAUCAGUCGCGGCCACCACCGGGCAGCUUCUCCUUAAUCUUUUCCAUCAUUCCUUUCUUCUCCUGGACGUGGUGCUGCUCGUCUCCUGCAGCAUAUCCUCCCCCUGCAGGUGAAUAAGUAGCCUGCUCCCCCUCCUUAUUGUGCCUCUUAAUCUUUUCCAUCAUUCCUUUCUUCUCGUGGCCGUGGUGCUGCUCUUCUCCUGCAGCAUAUCCUCCUCCUACAGGUGAAUAAAUAGCCUGCUCCCCCUCCUUAUUGUGCCUCUUAAUCUUUUCCAUCAUUCCUUUCUUCUCGUGGCCGUGGUGCUGCUCUUCUCCUGCAGCAUAUCCUCCUCCUACAGGUGAAUAAAUAGCCUGCUCCCCCUCCUUCUUGUGCCCGCCAACACCCGGUAACUUCUCCUUUAUCUUCCCUUUUAUCCCUUUCUUCUUCCUCCCUCCCAUUCCAUCAUCCUCGGACUGUAUAUACAAAUUACAGUUAUAUAUGUGUACCAAUCACAUCAAUAUAUACAAAUUACAGAGAUGGAAAUAUAUAUGUAGGCACUUACAGAGCUGGAAUUACCGGAUCGGCGAAGCUGCGACUGAUCAUGUGCACCAGUGCCAUGCAUGCCCGUGCCAGCAGAGCCAUAGGCUUCGGUACCGGCCGCUCCUCCGGUACCACAGCCAUCCAUGGUACCUCCCCCAGUUUGGUGAAUUAUGUUCCCGAACUGUUCUGUUUGUCCCACUGGAUUCCCAUAAGC